AACAGGAUUAGAUACCCUGGUAGUCCACGCUGUAAACGAUGUCGACUUGGAGGUUGUGCCCUUGAGGCGUGGCUUCCGGAGCUAACGCGUUAAGUCGACCGCCUGGGGAGUACGGCCGCAAGGUUAAAACUCAAAUGAAUUGACGGGGGCCCGCACAAGCGGUGGAGCAUGUGGUUUAAUUCGAUGCAACGCGAAGAACCUUACCUACUCUUGACAUCCAGAGAAUUUGCUAGAGAUAGCUUAGUGCCUUCGGGAACUCUGAGACAGGUGCUGCAUGGCUGUCGUCAGCUCGUGUUGUGAAAUGUUGGGUUAAGUCCCGCAACGAGCGCAACCCUUAUCCUUUGUUGCCAGCACGUAAUGGCGGGAACUCAAAGGAGACUGCCGGUGAUAAACCGGAGGAAGGUGGGGAUGACGUCAAGUCAUCAUGGCCCUUACGAGUAGGGCUACACACGUGCUACAAUGGCAUAUACAAAGAGAAGCGAACUCGCGAGAGCAAGCGGACCUCAUAAAGUAUGUCGUAGUCCGGAUUGGAGUCUGCAACUCGACUCCAUGAAGUCGGAAUCGCUAGUAAUCGUGGAUCAGAAUGCCACGGUGAAUACGUUCCCGGGCCUUGUACACACCGCCCGUCACACCAUGGGAGUGGGUUGCAAAAGAAGUAGGUAGCUUAACCUUCGGGAGGGCGCUUACCACUUUGUGAUUCAUGACUGGGGUGAAGUCGUAACAAGGUAACC
rnacentral:rRNA from 1 species